CAGCCUCAGACCGUGCACGAGCUUGCGUGGUCGGAAGGGAGAUGACACCCACCAGAGCCUACGCUGGCUCCUUGGUGGGUCUGUAAGUUAAAAACUCCCAGUGAGGGAGUGGUGCUUCUUCCUCCGGCUUCCGAGACAAUCCUUGCCAGGGCACCCACCACAGUGUGCAGAGCCCGUGAGGCCGGCGGGGCCUGGGUUCUGGAAGGUUGCUCCAGCUGUCUGGCGUGUCUGCUCCCGGACACUGGCUGCAUUUCACCACUGACAAGGCCAAGAGACAAAAAGAGAGCAAUACCACAACUGUGUUUCCUUCAGACAGAUGGAGCAUACAAAGGACCCAGAUGGAUUUGUGGUGACUUGAGGACAGGGUUUCAG
rnacentral:lncRNA from 1 species